rnacentral:rRNA from 1 species
UACGAAGGGGGCUAGCGUUGUUCGGAUUUACUGGGCGUAAAGCGCACGUAGGCGGAUUGUUAAGUCAGGGGUGAAAUCCUGGAGCUCAACUCCAGAACUGCCUUUGAUACUGGCAAUCUAGAGUCCGGAAGAGGUGAGUGGAAUUCCCAGUGUAGAGGUGAAAUUCGUAGAUAUUGGGAAGAACACCGGUGGCGAAGGCGGCGACCUGGUCCGAUACUGACGCUGAGGUUCGAAAGCUCGGGGAGCAAACAGG